CCUUUCUCUAUCUGGUCUCUGCAUACAAGGAUGCAAACUAUGUGCUCCUGUAUCUUGGCUCUCACCUUGAGGGUAAUUAUUGCUAACUUUGAACAACUUACUUAUCUGCCGGGAGGUAGGCAGAUAACAGUUCAGAGUACUUACUACAUUUUUGGUAUGCCCAAGCAUUUUCUAUAAAUUACCAAGGCAGUCUUCAAAGAAAUAGAAAAUAAACCAAGAAAAGAUAAAAGCAGAAGACAAAGUAAGGACCAGAAAGGCACAAAUAUGAAAUGGAACCAGAAGCGAGUGUUAAACAAAACCAGAUCUCUCAGAGACUAGCCUGCUUGCAAAUGAGAUACAAGCCUUGGCUGUAACCAUUCCCAAAUCCAGCACAAGAAGGGAAAGUGGACGGAUUACACCUUCUGCAGUACUUUUUAAAUUUUUUUUACAGGAAGAGUGGACAGUGAGAGAUAGAGACAAGGAGAAAGGUCUUCCUUUUCCGUUGGUUCACCUCCAAUGGCUGCUGCAGCUGGCGCAUCACGCUGAUCCAAAGCCAGGAGCCAGGUGCUUCUCCUGGUCUCUCAUGCGGGUGCAGGGCCCAAGCACUUGGGCCAUCCUCCACUGCACUCCCUGGCCACAGCAGAGAGCUGGCCUGGAAGAGGGGCAACCGGGACAGAAUCCGGCGCCCCGACUGGAACUAGAACCCGGUGUGCCGGCGCCGCAGACGGAGGAUUAGCCUAUGGACCCGCAGCACUGGCUUCCUUUUGCAGUACUUCUAAAAUAAGUAAAAUCAGUUCCUUGUUAGUUCACACCUAUUUCCUAUAGAAAGGCAAAAGGACAUUUUUCCUGAAGUCUCUCUAAAGAGGAUGUUAUUCUUAAUCUUCUUGCAGUGACAUUUUAGCUCAGUUGUUUUCAUGUAGAUGAUGGCACAACUCCACGUGCAAUUAGACAGGGGCAAUGAUGAGUGUGAAGGGGAUCAGAGGUUGUGAGUGACACUUUUACAACAAACAGGAGGGUCUUCUAAAAGUACACUGAAAAACGCAUGUUAGGAAAAAUGUGCAUGCAUUUCAAAGCCUUCUGCACCAAAAUAAACUUAGCUUUUAAUUCCACUUUCCACAAAGUUUUCAAAGUACUCUUGUACAUGGACUUUUAAAAUAAUCACAUACGCUCCCUUCUUUCAGUCACUCCGGGGUGGUAAUCGUCAGGCAUUCUUUAUUUUUUUUCUUCUUCUUGAACCAAAUUAGAAUCACCCUUUAGGACUGAGGGAAGCAGAGCUGGGAAGACUGAUAGUUAAAAGCCGGCAAGAAUCACUUAUUUCUGCCUCACUGGUCACACAUAUUUUGGGCGUAUGAGUCAGCAGUGUGAGCAGGGUGUUCGGGCUAGGCUUUAUCAGAAGUUAUGUAAAGUGCCUAAAGCUGUCCUGCCUCGUUAUUUAAGGCUUUGGGUAGGAGCAGAGUUUAGGUGGUAGGGAAAUUGAACUUAUUUUACAACUGGGACAGCUCAGAUUGGACAACUUCUCUGCUCUAGCUCCCUUGAAAUGGCUUUUUUGGGGUUUGCAAUAUCAUUGUCUUAAGCUUAAGUUGCUCAAGUUGGCCAGAACUCUGAAAUAUCUGACAGAGGUCUCAGCCUGUAAAAAGCUUUCUCUGUGUCAGAUCAGGCGUUCAGUGCAUUUGCUGGCAGGGAGGAAGCUAUCCUGUUGAUUUGUUUUGAUUCCUUGGACAUUAAUUAAGUGCGUUAUAUCACUGGUUAACAUGUGAUUCUCAGGAAGAGGGGGCAAAGAUCAAGGUGCCCUCAGAGUUCCUGCAUAGGAAACUCAUCAUCCGGUGGCCAAGUUAGUUGUGGACAGAACCCUCACCUGCAGAGUGGAGUGGGAUGAUUGCAGGAGAGGCACAGGCACGCAGGGGCCCAGAAGGUAAGAGGGGAUUUUUAGGGAAGACUCCUGUAAGUCUCUUCUAUUGAGGGGGAGAGCAUUUAGCAGACACAAAACUUACUAGACGGAUGAAUGAAGAGGUGUCAACUGAACACGUAAAGAGGAUGUGAAGAUAUGGAGAUGGUUAGAAAAGACACUUAAGCUGAGAGAAUCGCACAGAGGCAAGAAAGCAGGGUGAAUAACAGAGGUGGCUAAAUUUGAGUAAAGAAUGAGGCCUAGAGCACUGUCAAAACCCAGAGGAACCUGGUAAUUUUCAAAGUCACACCUAUGAGUUAAUUGUCUAAAAAUGAGUUUUGAACUAUAAAAGCUCUUGGAAACAAAGGCAGACAAAUACUAUUAUAAGAUUGUGGUUGGUUAAUGUGAGUAAUAUAAAGAUGAUACUAUAACGUGAUAUAUGAAAGGAUAUAAAACCAGGAUUUUGUAAGGAAGAUUACUGUGCUAACCUUUUCGUGCCACAGACCCAUGGAGAUCUGAGGAUAAUGUGGUACACAUCAGAAUACUGUCAUUCUAAAUCACAGGGAGUUGAAGAGGGUUUAAUGAAGAAAUCGCUUUGGAAAUGUAGGUAGGGUUUUGAAAAAUCAACAAGGGAUGAUGAGGUCCCUGGAGCUGUAAGCACGUGGGACUCAUGCCUCCCCUUACACCUGCCCAGGCAGGGAUGGGGUGAUCAAAAAUAGCUUUGGCUAUAGAUGGAAGAAAGAGAAGCUUCCAGAUAGGAGCUGUGACCUUCUGUAGAGGACCAGACCCACUGCCAACCUGUGACCCAAAAGGGAGCCAAGGAAAUGAAUCUUCCAAACCCUCUCUCCCCAGUUUCCUGCUGGAGUCUCCUGCCUGGCACAUGUCUCCUCCUGGGCAAGGACGCCUCAAUGGCAUCCUCACAGCUCAGCCUCUUGGAACACAGUGAGACAGAGGAAGAAGGAAGAUGCCCCUGGAGGGAGAGCUGAGCAAAUCCAGCCCACACGGGGAAACCGAGAAAGUCAGAGCUCAUGGAAACUUGGGGCGUCUCAUGUAUUCCCUUUGUGGUACCUAUCCUGGCAUAGCUCUGUGGACUAUCCUGGCAUUGAGAAGCCAGGAUUCAGGAGCUCAGUGUGUGUCUGCCACAUAGGUGACUAUGCCCCGAGCACAUGAACCAUCACCUGGUGCCUCCCCUGGUGGACAGCAGCAGGAAGCUGUAAUCAGGAGCAGAGCUGCGAGUUGCACCCAGGCACCCUGAAGUGAGAUGCAGAAGGGAAGUUACUACUGUUCUGCAGGACUCUCCACUGUGACGUACGGUUUGAUCCCCAGACCUUAUGUAAGGGAUGACUGACCUUUUCUGUAAUAAUGCCUGGCCACAGUAUGGGACCCCAAACAACAUAACAACAAAAAAAAGACUAAAAGCUGUUGAACUCCAAAUGGUCAUCAGGCAAGACUUCCAGCCCAUUCCACUGGACGACCUGAACAGCCCUCUGGACUGAGCAGCACAGUCUUUCCAAGGCCACUGUUGCACACCAUAAGACAGGUAGCAAAGGGAAAUACCCAAAUCCCCCUUGAUGCCCACAUGCCAGCUUCUAAGAAGUUACAGAAAACAGAACUCCAUCCAUAAUCCCAAAGAAGAAUUUUGGGUAUUACCUCUUGAGGGGAAAAUAUUAGGCAGAAAGUCAGUUAUGAGCUUAUGUGUGUGUGACAUAAAGGCCUAAUGUGUCCAGCAUAUGCAUCUGCAUCUCAGUCAUCCUGACAAUGUUUCACGGGCAGCCUGGCCUUUGCAUCCUGCCCUGCCCCCUUCUACCUGAUAACCUGCCAGGUGGAGAUCCCCGCCCCUUCUGCCUGACAAAUCUUCCACAAUUUCCCAGAUGCAGCCCAGUAUCUGCAUUUCAGUAUUGCAGAACAGGCGGGGGUUGAAUCUCAUGUUCAUGGGGGGGGGGAGUGGUUAUGUGCGGCCCUAAAGGAAAAAUGUUGUUUUUAUGCCGACUAAACUGGGGUGGUUAGAAACUCCAUGGCCAAAUUCAGAAAACAACUGGAAAAACGGCAACGGGAGAGGGAAACUCGACAGGGAUGGUUUGAGUCAUGGUUCGGCCGGUCCCCAUGGCUUACUACCCUACUGUCAGCCCUAGCAGGACCCUUAAUUGUUCUACUCCUAAUUAUAACCAUAGGACCUUGUGUGUUAAAUAGACUCAUCACCUUCAUGCGGGAACAAGUUAAAAAUGUUAAACUCAUGGUCAUAAUACAACAAUAUGUGACAUUAAAAGAGACAAAAACAAAUAAUCUCUAAGAUUAGAGAUCCUCACAACAAGGAGUGGGGAAUGAAGAGUUAAAAUUGUAUAUGUGCGGGUGUAAAAAGUUAAGCUUAAGCUUACAGGUUUAAACUUUCCUGGUGCAGCUGUGAAAAUAAGACAGAGUGAAGUAGCACCUUGAC